rnacentral:misc_RNA from 1 species
UUUUUGGCAAAAUCAGCCGCCAGUUCACCACAGCUGCAACUUGCAACCUCAAUUGAUUGCGUAAUGCCUAACAAUUACAAGGCUAGAGGUGGGCUUUUUCUCAUCACAUGAUCAAGAUAAUAAUAAUGAUAAAUAUGACACGCGUGAAAUCAUAUGAAUGGCCCAGCGAAGAUUCAAUUCCAAAGGGUGGAUUUUAGCGUAUUACCAGUCCCAACUUUAUUGGAUCACAAGAUUCUCUCCUCUUCCAAAGGAGAGUGGCCCAAGAGAAUAGCUACAACACAUGACUUCAUAAAUGAAUCCAACACAGGUUGAGUAUUGUCAAAAAGUUCUCGUAUCGCUGAUGGUUUUAGUUCUCCGAUUGCCAUUGGUUGCCCAUGAGUAAAAAACAAAACAAUUCCAUUACCAGUAGCCACUCAUCUCACCUUCACAUCCAUACCAUUCAAAAGUUCAUUAUAAAACAAAAGCAUUUCCUCCUUUUCCGAUGACUUUUGCAGAAGCUCUUCUUAAUUCCUUUUAUUAAAUGAUAAUUAUUAAUGCAUAAAUUCAUUUUUUAAAAUUAUAAAUACUUUAAAAUAAAAAUUUAAGGUGUCAAUUUAUAUAUUACAGAAACAAAAAUUUCAUAUUCUUCGUGUCAACGUAUAUAAUUAUGGAUUGAAAACAAACCAUUCUAGUCCAAGUAUUCAUUAUCCCCAACAUGCACCACUCACUCAUCCGCCAGACCCUAAUAUUUUUUAAUAAUGCAAAAAAAAAAAAAAAAAAA